rnacentral:lncRNA from 1 species
AAGUAGGCCUGAGUCAGUGAAAGGUUUCUGGAGGGCGGGACAGAAUAGGGGUAUUAGGCGGAGGAUGGGGUUACUUACCAGUUGACACUCUGGCAAGACCCAUCCCCUAGUUUCCCACCACUAGUCUUGCUUCUACCCUCAAGUGAGGACUGUACUAUGAAUCUUUUGUUAGGAAGCUGCUGCUUGAGAGGCUCUGCCUCUAUGCGACUGGGACGAGACCUACUCUACAAGAAAAAUCUCCUGGUUAGUAAGAGCCCGCCAGGAGAGGAGGACUAGAUCUCUCCAGUGAAAGCUGGGACCAGGAGAGGUGGACAGUUUUCCCUCCCCCAAAAGCCCUCAAGAGUCCUCAUACAAUGGAAGAGUCUGCUGCCCGGGAGGCUGAUUUCCACCUUCAGUUCUACCCACUCCUGCUUCACCUGCUCCACCUUUCCCUAAAGAACUAUCGCCUCAUACGCAGAAGUCAGCGAAUCCAUUUUGGGGUAGUUUAAAACAAGCACGCACGGCCCAAAAAAGGAGGGGCUGUAGCCCUUUAAGGACUUCGCCAGGAUGGAUUCGGAGAGGAGUUUAAAAAUGCCAACUCACAGAGCGCGCUGGAUUCUGGGAACGAGGUGCCAGACCGAGAACUACAUUGACCAGUGUGCAACGCAAACACACACGCCUUUACUUCCUUUUGCUCUUUAGGACUCUGGUUUGACGUAGCGCUCCUCAAAGCAAGCUGCCUUAGGCUUAUGGCUCAGCCACACCCUUUCACCUAUUGGUGAGCUCGUGAGUUGGUGGGCGUGGCCUAGCGCAGCUCACCCAGGCAAAGGGGUGGCCUCCUUGCCAAUCAGAGCUAAGACGGCCGGAGAGGCGGGACCUGGGCGAAGUGCUGGCGCCCCAGAGUGGGUGUGGUCACGCUGCCCAGCAGUGGGCGGUGAUUGGCCCUGGGCGGUGCAAUCGCAGCUUGUGCGUCACGACGCCGCCAGCUGAUCGGAGCCUGGAGCCGGUGUGUGCUGGGCGCAGGGAAGACACAGCGCCGCCGGCCGUGGGGGACGGACGCACUGAUUUGCUCCCCUACCCUCAGCAGCCCCCCCACCCAGCACCAGGUGGGUGUGAGCUGGGGUCUCCGCCGCACAGGAGGGAACCGUGCUAACAGGGUAACGGGGGAAAGUAGGGUCCUGGUGGCCACACCCUGCCCUUCCGGGGGAGGGGAGAGGGGGCGGCGGGGGUAGGGGAGCUUUGGGGCAGAGGGGCCUGAACUGGCUGGAGUAGUGUGGCAGGAGGUUUAAAGAAGGAGCCAGGACAGCAGUAGUGGCGGAAGGUUUUGCAGAGUGGCUAAAAGGGAGACGAGGGGCUGGAGGGCUGGGGGCAGCUAACCUGGGCGCCCCCUGGUCAAAGGAUAUGAGAACUGGCCUUCUAGCUUGCGGAGGGUUUGGACCCGGCGGGUAGUGAGGAGGUAGUUUUCCUUUACUGGCAGUCAGUGGGUCAGGGCCAAUUGAGCGCCCUGGCAGGGAAGGGGUCUCUGGGCGGGCCGGCCCCUCCUCUCGUUCCCUCCAGGGGAUGUUAUGUAAGGGGGGAGGGGAGAGGAGUAGGGGGCGGCGGUGCGGGGGCCUUAUGCAACCCAAAGGUUAGGGUUUCACCGCGGUUGGUGGGGGAAGCGGGCUGGAGGAGGACCUGGAAACUCUAACCCCCCCUCCCCAGCCUAACUGGCCGUCUUGGGCCCAGAGAAGGUCACCUCUGCACCUCCCCCCAGCAUGUCCGGUUGUGGGGCCCCUAGCCCAGGCCUGGCCCUGACCGCCUGGGAAGCCGGCUGACUGGGUGGGGCGCCUGGGUUAGUCAUCACUGGGCUCCCUCUCUCCCCACCUCUCGGCCAACUCUUGGCCCCUCCCUAUGGCCUCUCGCUAGGCUAUCGCCCCCACCUCCCUCCGGCCCUAGUUACAGCCUCCAACUCAUUUGGCCUGUCAUCCUGGCUGUCAGACUGGGCUAGGAAUUGUCAGGGUGCCAAAGGGUUGAUGGAGCAGCUGGUCAGAGGGUCAGUGCCCUGGGCCCACCCCGCCCUGCAGCCAAGGGCACCUGCUUGGCACAGACUCUGAGCAGCCGCUGAGUCCUAUGGGCUGAAUAGAGCUGGCUCAGACAGAGGAGAGUGGGAAGGAGUUGGACUGGUCACCUGGGGGAAGGAAGAUACCACAAAGUUCAUGUCUCCCUAGAGGGUUUUGUAAUUUGAAAACCUCCCACCCCCACCCUAGUCUUUCUUAUCCUCUGAGUAUAGAAGUCUGAAAGCAAGACCGCCUUGGCCGCUCACACUGGCAUGGGCCAUGCCCUUGGACUGAGUGUCAGCACAGACCCGCCCUCCCCAGCUCUCAGCCCUCUAGCCUGCCACGCCCCCAGCCCCCUCCCUGGGCCAUGCUGCAGGGCCCGGCUUUUCCUGCUGAUUCAUGCGUUGGAACUGUGGGGGCGGGGCUUGGAACUUGGAACAAAGUUCAGACAUGGAGGGGCCGGCAGACAGCCUGGAAUUCAUACCAGAUGUACCCGGAAUGCGCAAGCGGAAUGCCUGGCAUUUGAGAGUCUUGGGGAAGCUGCCCAUCCACCCUGCCCAUACCUCCCUCCCCUCCAGCCUUUGGUCCCCUGUCCUCUCCUCACAGUCCCUGGAGCCUCUGCUGACCUUCCAAACACUUCCUUACUCUUCCCCAGAUGUAGGCCCCCAAAACUCUUCUAGCUGAACUCUUUGGGAACAAGUCAGUUGGGCUGAUCACUGAACUCACAUUUUUGGACCUAAGGUACAACUUCUCACCAAGUACCUGGGCGAUUGGUGGGACGUGUCCAAGGUUCUAAGUCCUGCCCUCUCUGAAUGCUGAAGAGGAGGGGCCCUUCGUGGGUAGCUGAGGCAAGGGGUGGGGGGUGGGGUGAGAGCAGGCCUGGGUCUCUACAGCCUUCAGUUCUGGAAAGAGGUGCAAGGAGGUAUGUUUAGAGCUGCCUCUUGCUUCUCACUGAAGUCAACCGCUCCUGCAGGCCCAAGUCAAAGCCAAGAACCCUUUGUUACAAGGUUGAGCAUCUGUUGGAGCUGGACUUUGAUGCCAGUGGGACAGUGCCCCUGUGACAUGGCCCUGCUUAGAUCCUUCCCAUUUUUCUUCCCUUUCCUUUUAGGAGCCUGUCCCUCCCACAUCCUCAACUGGCUGAGCCGCAGUAGUUCUUCAGUGGCAAGCUUUAUGUCCUGACCCAGCUAAAGCUGCCAGUUGAAGAACUGUUGCCCUCUGCCCCUGGCUUCAAGGAGGAGGAGGAAGAGGAGAAGGAGCUGCUUUCCCCCUCAUCUGGAAGGUGACGGAACUGGGGCUGGGAAGGUCAGAACAGCGGGAGUGGUGAUGCCUUUUGGAAAAGGGAACCUUGUUCAGUUGGAGACCCUUCAGCCAGAUUGGCCCAGCAAGAGAGAACAGUUGUAGAUUAGAGACCCUCGUUGGGCUGGGGACUAGAUGGCUGUGACUACCCAAGGUUAGUUGGUCUACAUCAGUGUGUGACAAAGGGAAGACAAUGGGAGCAAAGAAAACUGGCAACACCUUUACUCAGAUGUCUUUCUUGACCCUCCUUCCUGUCUCCCUUUCUUUCCUACUGCCUUUCCAGGUGAGGUCCAAAGUAAAUUUCAUCUUCAGGGAAGAGGUCAUACUGAAACUCCCAUCUGAGUAGUCAACCCCAUGCUCUUAGCUUUCCCUGUAUUUCCUCAGACUGGCCUAGACUCCAGUUACAGGGAUAAAUCACCUAUA